rnacentral:lncRNA from 1 species
CCUUCCCUUCCCUUCCCUUCCCUUCCCUUCCCCACAUUUGCUCCCUUUGGACUUCCCCCUGUCCUGUGAAUGGUGCUGAGGCUCCUGAAUCACAAAUCGAGAAGUGCAGUGACCUGAUGAAAUAAAUUACUGUUAGAGAAAAAACUCUAUUGUAGAGCUUCUCCCCUUCAAAAUCCACAGUCUGGAAGGGAGAUAUCCCCUCUUCCAUUUCCCAAAUGUUUGGAGGGUCAUACAGGAACUGAAAAGAGUGGGCAAUUUUUGAUUUUCUUAAUUGCCACAAGACAUUUAAAGCUUUAAGCUGUACAACCACUAUCCCCAACUCUUACUACAUUCAAUCACACUUGAAUGCACUGUAGCAGAAUUUCAUUUAGAUUUUGUAAGGUUUGUCCUUUUGAAAUCAGCAUAAAUUAUAAUGUUCCAGUCAAUAGUUUGUCCAACAGACAGCAAGUCACUUGAUUUUGCUUUAGCAUGUCUCAAUCUGUUAAACAAUAGGGCUUUUCUUUGCUGAAGUGGGACUGGUGUGCAUGCAGUAAGAAUAAGCUCAUUCUAACAGCUUUUCUUUGCUUUUCUGUUUUAGAGAGAGAGAAUUUGUAAAUACACUGUAUUAAAUCAUGUUUGGUAUCAAACUGUGAACCAUGCUGAUAAAAGAAGAAUUGACCCAAACUACUCAACCUCAAUCUAAUGAGAUCAAAAGACAUCAGCUGGAGCUGGUAGCUACUUCUCAUAGAGGGGAUUCUUUUCUCCUUUACAUCCUCUUUCAAGGUGAAUUUUAAUAAUAACUCGUGUGCUACAAACAAUCUUAGUAAUUUUAGUAUUUUGUAAAAGGUCCUUUUUUAACAUUAAAAAAACCCCACAACAACCUAUCAGGAAAUCCAUAUUCAGUUUUUUUCCACAGUGGAAACUGUGAAUUAUUUAUAACAGUAGUUUGAUUAUAUUAAAAAGCACAAUCCCAAGUCUGCAGUACAUUACUGGCUCCAUUCCUUGCCUAAAACAGGCGUGUUUAUAUUUUUCCUCAGUAAAUAUGUGAUAAUUAAAUGCAAAUAGACCAUAUUUUUCAAAUGAAUUCCCAACCCUGGAAACUUGGAUGAUGAUAAUCUUGCCUAAUAAAUGCACAACUGCAAGUGAAAUCA